AUAAUAUAUGGUGGUACAUAUUCUAAACUUGGAACGAUGCAGAGAAGAUUAGCAUGGCCCCUGCACAAGGAUGACACGCAAAUUCAUGAAGCGUAGGAGUGGCUC